rnacentral:rRNA from 1 species
UACGAAGGGUGCAAGCGUUAAUCGGAAUUACUGGGCGUAAAGCGUGCGUAGGCGGUUUGUUAAGUCUGCUGUGAAAUCCCCGGGCUCAACCUGGGAAUGGCAGUGGAUACUGGCAAGCUAGAGUGUGUCAGAGGAUGGUGGAAUUCCCGGUGUAGCGGUGAAAUGCGUAGAGAUCGGGAGGAACAUCAGUGGCGAAGGCGGGCCAUCUGGGGACAACACU